rnacentral:rRNA from 1 species
UACGUAGGGUGCGAGCGUUGUCCGGAAUUAUUGGGCGUAAAGGGCUCGUAGGCGGUCUGUCACGUCGGGAGUGAAAACACGGGGCUUAACCCCGUGCCAGCUUCCGAUACGGGCAGACUAGAGGUAUGCAGGGGAGAACGGAAUUCCUGGUGUAGCGGUGAAAUGCGCAGAUAUCAGGAGGAACACCGGUGGCGAAGGCGGUUCUCUGGGCAUUACCUGACGCUGAGGAGCGAAAGUGUGGGGAGCGAACAGG